rfam:Oryza barthii chromosome 11, whole genome shotgun sequence.
AAUAAGUACGGUUUUGCACUAUUCACGUUCAACGUUUGACUGUUCGUCUUAUUUGAAAAGUUUUUAUGAUUAGUAUUUUUAUUGCUAUUAGAUGAUAAAACAUAAAUAGUACUUUAUGUGUGACUAAAUAUUUUCAAAUUUUUCAUAAAUUUUUCAAAUAAGACGGACGGUCAAACAUUGGGCACGGAUAUCCACGGCGGCACUUAUU